UGCCUGGCGGCCAUAGCGCCGUGGAACCACCUGAUCCCAUGCCGAACUCAGAAGUGAAACGCGGUAGCGCCGAUGGUAGUGUGGCAUUCGCCAUGUGAGAGUAGGACACUGCCAGGCA
rnacentral:rRNA from 1 species